CAUGUCUUUUUGAUUAUAAUUUAAAGUCUGACCUGCUCUAUGAUUAAUUUAAAUGGCCGCGAUAUUUUGAUCGUGCAAAGGUAGCAUAAUCAUUAGUUUCUUAAUUAGGAACUGGAAUGAAAGGUUGAACGAAAAAAUUACUGUCUCAAUUUAAUUGGAUUAGAAUUUUAUUUUUAAGUAAAAAAGCUUAAAUGUAUUUAAAAGACGAGAAGACCCUAUAGAGUUUUAUAAUUAAUUUAUAGUAUUUAAAAUUUAGUAUUUUUUUUAUUUAUUUUAGAUUGAUUAUUUGGUUGGGGUGAUUAAAAAAUUUAAAAAACUUUUUUUAUUUAAAACAUUGAUUUAUGAAUAUAUGAUCCAUUAUUAAUGAUUAUUAGAUAAAAUUACCUUAGGGAUAACAGCGUAAUUUUUUUUAAGAGUUCAUAUCGA
rnacentral:rRNA from 1 species